rnacentral:rRNA from 1 species
AAACUUAUUAUUCCAAACGGUGGAUCACUCGGCACAUGGGUCGAUGAAGAGCGCAGCUAGCUGCGUUACUUAAUGCAAAUUGCAAAUACAUUGAACAUCGACAUCUUGAACGCAUAUGCGGCUUUGGGACUUCAUCUCAAAGCCACGCCUGUUCGAGGGUUGA